AGCCUGCCCAGUGACUACGGGUUCAACGGCCGCGGUAUUUUGACCGUGCAAAGGUAGCGCAAUCACUUGUCUUUUAAAUAGAGACCUGUAUGAAUGGCCAAACGAGGGCUUAACUGUCUCCCCCUUCAAGUCAGUGAAAUUGAUCUAUCCGUGCAGAAGCGGGUAUAAUAAUACAAGACGAGAAGACCCUUUGGAGCUUAAGGUACAAAAUUCAGCCACGUUAAACAACUCCACAAAAAGCAAAAACUUAGUGGAAUAUGAAGUUUUACCUUCGGUUGGGGCGACCGCGGAGGAAAAUAUAGCCUCCAAGUGGAAUGGGGUAAACCCCUAAAACCAUGAGAAACAUCUCUAAGCCGCAGAACAUCUGACCAAAAAUGAUCCGGCCAAACAGCCGAUCAACGAACCAAGUUACCCUAGGGAUAACAGCGCAAUCCUCUCCCAGAGUCCAUAUCGACGAGGGGGUUUACGACCUCGAUGUUGGAUCAGGACAUCCUAAUGGUGCAGCCGCUAU
rnacentral:rRNA from 1 species